rnacentral:rRNA from 1 species
AUUGAACGCUGGCGGCAUGCCUUACACAUGCAAGUCGAACGGCAGCACGGGAGCAAUCCUGGUGGCGAGUGGCGAACGGGUGAGUAAAGUAUCGGAACGUGCCCAGUCGUGGGGGAUAACGUAGCGAAAGUUACGCUAAUACCGCAUACGAUCUAUGGAUGAAAGCGGGGGAUCGCAAGACCUCGCGCGAUUGGAGCGGCCGAUAUCAGAUUAGGUAGUUGGUGGGGUAAAGGCUCACCAAGCCGACGAUCUGUAGCUGGUCUGAGAGGACGACCAGCCACACUGGGACUGAGACACGGCCCAGACUCCUACGGGAGGCAACAGUGGGGAAUUUUGGACAAUGGGCGAAAGCCUGAUCCAGCCAUGCCGCGUGCAGGACGAAGGCCUUCGGGUUGUAAACUGCUUUUGUACGGAACGAAAAGGUUUGGCCUAAUAAGCUGAGCUCAUGACGGUACCGUAAGAAUAAGCACCGGCUAACUACGUGCCAGCAGCCGCCGUAA